CCUACGGGAGGCAGCAGUGGGGAAUCUUGCGCAAUGGACGAAAGUCUGACGCAGCCACGCCGCGUGAGUGAAGAAGGCCUUCGGGUUGUAAAGCUCUGUCGGAGGGGACAAAAACGUUUAGGGUUAAUAGCCCUAGAUCUUGAUGGUACCCUCAAAGGAAGCACCGGCUAACUUCGUGCCAGCAGCCGCGGUAAUACGAAGGGUGCAAGCGUUGCUCGGAAUUAUUGGGCGUAAAGGGUAGGUAGGUGGUUACGUAUGUCUGAGGUGAAAGCCCCGAGCUUAACUUGGGAAGUGCCUUGGAAACGGCGUAACUAGAGUAUUGGAGAGGUUUGUAGAAUUCCCGGUGUAGCGGUGAAAUGCGUAGAGAUCGGGAGGAAUAUCAGAGGCGAAGGCGACAAACUGGACAAUUACUGACACUAAACUACGAAAGCGUGGGGAGCAAACAGGAUUAGAUACCCUGGUAGUCCACGCUGUAAACGAUGGGUACUAGAGGUUCGGGGUAGUUCGACCCCGUCGGACUCGGACGACGUACGACGACGUAACGUACCCGUCCGUACGGUACGGUACGGUCGCGACGACUAAACUACAACGAAGUAGACGCGUGAGACGCGCGACGACGACGACGAGGAGAG
rnacentral:rRNA from 1 species